rnacentral:rRNA from 1 species
GACGAACGCUGGCGGCGUGCUUAACACAUGCAAGUCGAGCGGUAAGGCCCUUUCGGGGGUACACGAGCGGCGAACGGGUGAGUAACGCGUGGGUGACCUGCCCUCAGCUCUGGGAUAAGCCUGGGAAACCGGGUCUAAUACUGGAUAUGACUCCAUGACGCAUGUUGUGGGGUGGAAAGCCUUGUGCGGCUGAGGAUGGGCCCGCGGCCCAUCAGCUUGUUGGUGGGGUGANGGCCUACCAAGGCGACGACGGGUAGCCGGCCUGAGAGGGCGACCGGCCACACUGGGACUGAGACACGGCCCAGACUCCUACGGGAGGCAGCAGUGGGGAAUCUUGCGCAAUGGGCGAAAGCCUGACGCAGCAACGCCGCGUGGGUGAUGAAGGCCUC